UACGGGGGGGGCAAGCGUUGUUCGGAAUUACUGGGCGUAAAGGGCUCGUAGGCGGCCAACUAAGUCAGACGUGAAAUCCCUCGGCUUAACCGGGGAACUGCGUCUGAUACUGGAUGGCUUGAGGUUGGGAGAGGGAUGCGGAAUUCCAGGUGUAGCGGUGAAAUGCGCAGAUAUCAGGAGGAACACCGAUGGCGAAGGCAGGUCUCUGGGCAUUAACUGACGCUGAGGAGCGAAAGCAUGGGGAGCGAACAGG
rnacentral:rRNA from 1 species